rnacentral:rRNA from 1 species
GCCAGACCUGACUGCUAUCGGAUUGAUACUAAGCCAUGCGAGUCGUUGUAGCAAUACAAGGCAUACGGCUCAGUAACGCGUAGUCAACCUAACCUAUGGACGGGAAUAACCUCGGGAAACUGAGAAUAAUGCCCGAUAGAACAUUAUGCCUGGAAUGGUUUAUGUUCCAAAUGAUUUAUCGCCAUAGGAUGGGACUGCGGCCUAUCAGUUUGUUGGUGAGGUAAUGGCCCACCAAGACUAUUACAGGUACGGGCUCUGAGAGGAGUAGCCCGGAGAUGGGUACUGAGACACGGACCCAGGCCCUAUGGGGCGCAGCAGGCGAGAAAACUUUGCAAUGUGCGAAAGCACGACAAGGUUAAUCCGAGUGAUUUCUGCUAAAGAGAUCUUUUGUUAGUCCUAGAAACACUAACGAAUAAGGGGUGGGCAAGUUCUGGUGUCAGCCGCCGCGGUAAAACCAGCACCUCAAGUGGUCAGGAUGAUUAUUGGGCCUAAAGCAUCCGUAGCCGGCUCUGUAAGUUUUCGGUUAAAUCUGUACGCUCAACGUACAGGCUGCCGGGAAUACUGCAGAACUAGGGAGUGGGAGAGGUAGACGGUACUCGGUAGGAAGUGGUAAAAUGCUUUGAUCUAUCGAUGACCACCUGUGGCGAAGGCGGUCUACCAGAACACGUCCGACGGUGAGGGAUGAAAGCUGGGGGAGCAAACCGGAUUAGAUACCCGGGUAGUCCCAGCUGUAAACUAUGCAAACUCAGUGAUGCAUUGGCUUGUGGCCAAUGCAGUGCUGCAGGGAAGCCGUUAAGUUUGCCGCCUGGGAAGUACGUACGCAAGUAUGAAACUUAAAGGAAUUG